ACAUCACAAUCAUCUGUUUGGAGUGGUAGUUUUUAACAGGCGGCGUGAAAAGCGUGUCACCGCCUAGUCUUGGGCCUUUCGGCUCAAGGCAAGACCGUCAAAUUGCCUGGACGUCCUGCCAGGCCAUCGAUACCACCCUGCCCGGGAAACCGAGGCAGCGGAACCCUGGGGAAACUCGGGGGCAUGGUAAAAAUUCGAUGGCUAGGGACGAUGGGCAGCCAAGUCCUACGGGCAUGUCAUGCCUAUGGAUGCAGUUCACAGACUAAAUGUCGGUCGGUCAUCGUUGGCAGAUGGCUUGAGAUAUAGUCGGGCCGCUCCGAGAGGAGAGC
rfam:Chlorella variabilis unplaced genomic scaffold CHLNCscaffold_3, whole genome shotgun sequence.